AUACACAGGGCCGGUGCAAAGAAUUUUGGGUACAUAGGCGAAGAUGCAUUUUUCCGCCACCCCAAAAACAUCUUCACCCAUGUGCCUCUUAAACUCCCUUUUGUGUUUCUUAUCCCGUCUUUUAAAUAUCUGACUCCCUUUAGUGUAUUUUAUCUCCUAUUUUUGCCUCUGUGUGUCUCCUAUCUCUCCUCUUUGUAGGACUCUUACAUCCUCCCACAUUUUGUGUCUUACUCCUCCCAGCCCCUUUGUGUGACUCCUUUUCUCCCAGCCCCUUUGUGUCUUUUAUUCUUCCCAGCUCCUUUGUGUAUGUCUCUUUCCUUCUCAAGCCCCGCUGUAUGUUUCUUUCACAUCCAGCCCCUCUCCCCGUCCCUUAAUGGACCCCUCCCUUCUCUGACCCUUACUGUUCCUCUCCCCUCUCUCCUCCUUUACCUGUUCCUCAGUGUUCCUUUCCCUUCCCCCUACUUUCCCUGUCCCUUAGUGUUCCUCUCCCCUCCCUCCUCUGUUCCCUGUCGCUUAGUGUUCCUCUCCCUCCC
rnacentral:lncRNA from 1 species